rnacentral:rRNA from 1 species
CGGCCGCGUCGACGUAGAGUAUACCAAGGGGCGCGAGAUAACUCUCUCUAAGGAACUCGGCAAAAUGGCCCCGUAACUUCGGGAGAAGGGGUACCUACGCAAGUAGGUCACAGUGAAGAGUCCCAGGCGGACGGGUGAGUAACGCGUGGGUAACCUGCCCUGUACACACGGAUAACAUACCGAAAGGUAUGCUAAUACGGGAUAACAUAUGGAAUUCGCAUGUUUUCCAUAUCAAAGCUUCAGCGGUACAGGAUGGACCCGCGUCUGAUUAGCUUGUUGGUGAGGUAACG